rnacentral:lncRNA from 1 species
CAAAAUGCAUUGAGCAUAUCUGCAUAGAAGAUGAAAUAACUAACAAUUAGCACAAAUUAACACAGUUGAUAGUCGAGAAGAUCAAAUGAUGACAUGUGUGCCGAAGCAUGGAGGUGAGCAAACUAAAUGAAAGAGUUAAUGCAAAGUUCGCCGUAUUGGUGCAUACCGCCCUGUACUAAGUGUACUGUAGCAUACCAGUACUAAACCAAAACUCAAGGUAUGGAGGGCAUAAAGAGUCUCGGGAUACUGAACCGAUCCCGCACCAACAUUAUGUCAGCAUAGUACCGAUACGGGAUCUAGUAUUGAGAUUUCGAACUUUGAGUAAAUGUUUUGCCUAUUUUAAGUACAUACAAAUCAAAAUAUUCUACAUUAGCAUUCCUGAAUAUCAAGAGCAUUUCAAUAUUGUUACACAACAUAAAGUCAAGGCUAUAUGUUCAUUAGCAUUCAAGAUAUCACCAAUAACUUUAUCAACACAUAAUAAAUCACUGCAAAUAUGGCAACUAAUGAAACAAAUUGCACUAAUAGUCAUUGUACAGUCUAUACUACAAAUAAAAAAAACAAUUUCAGAUAGCUCUAGCCUGCAAAGCAACCCCAUUUGGCCCAAAAGUAAUUCAAAAAAAUAAUAAAAAAAACCAGAACAAACAUAAUGCAAUGGUAGUUGAGAAACAAGCUUACUCGAACAAUGAUGCAAGUUGCGUAAAUCCACGAAAUGGACACCACUGAAUUCCAAAUGGCUGCAAAAG